rnacentral:rRNA from 1 species
GAUGAACGCUAGCGACAGGCUUAACACAUGCAAGUCGAGGGACGGGCGCGCGGGAGAGUAACACGGGACCAACCUGAGUUUUACUGGGGGAUAGCCCUACGAAAGAAAGAUUAAUACCUGAUAUAAAGGAUGGGGAUGCGUUCCAUUAGGUUGUUGGUAAGGUAACGGCACAGCAAGCCUUCGAUGGAUAGGGGUUCGGAGAGGAAGGUCCCCCACAUUUGAACUGCGACACGGUCCAAACUCCUACGGGAGGCAGCAGUGAGGAAGAUUGGUCAAUGGGCGCUAACCUGAACCAUCCGAGUAGCGUGAAGGAUGAAGGCUUAUUGGUCGUAAACUUCUUUUAUAUAAGAAUAGGUAUUAUAAGAAUAAGCAUCGGCUAACUCCGUGCCAGCAGCCGCGGUAAUAC